rnacentral:tRNA from 1 species
UCCCUGGUGAUCUAGUGGUUAGGAUUCCUGGCUCUCACCUAGGCUACCCGGGUUCGAUUCCCGGCAUAGGAAA